CCCCUCACUGAUUGUGAGCUCAUUAGUUACAUCUUUGCAGGGUUUGGUUCGGAUUAUGAUCCACUCAUAACCUCCCUCAAAACUCGACUUGAACCCUUGAAUCUCCAGGAGACAUACAUGCAUCUUCUCCAUUUUGAGC